GUUAGCAUAAAUUUUAGAGCAAAUUUGGAUGCUCAGAAUGCAGAAAAUGGCAUUUCCGUGCUUCAAAUUUCAAAAAUUUUCUGGGGGAGUACACCCCCACACACCUGACCAUUGCUAUCCUCCUCUAAUAAGUAAUGAUAAAUGAUGGUUAAUUUUUUUUUACUUUUUGUGCGUUUCUUCCUUUAUUUAUUUCAAAUACAAGUAUAGUUAGGAUAAAUUUUGGAGCAAAUUUGGAUGCUCAGAAUGCAGGAAAUGACAUUUCCGGGAGUCAAAUUUCAAAAAUUUUCUGGGGGAGUACACCCCCAGACCCCCCAUUCAUGCGUGGUAUAUUUGCCACACACGUGGCUUUCAGCCAUUGCUAUCCCCCUCUAAUAUAUUAUCUCGCAGAAAGGUCCCUUUUCAAAAAAUGCCCCCCCCCCGGGAAAAUCCUUAAAAAAGGUCCUGCUGGUGGUAGCAAAGAGAUGGCAGAAGAGACUGUCAACAACAUACAGAAACAGAACAUGCCAAAGAGGUCUACUGAUAAACCGCAUAAAACAGGACAACAACUGUCAAUUGAAUCUGCAUUUGCAAAUGCAGUACAUGACCCUUCAGACAAAUUCUACUGAUGACGAUGACAAUUUCCAUAUACAGUAGUUACAACACAACUUUUCGGUUCAAUAUAUUGGGCAU